UAACUGGAGAGUUUGAUCCUGGCUCAGAACGAACGCUGGCGGCGUGCCUAACACAUGCAAGUCGUGCGAGAAAAGGGAGCAAUCCCUGAGUAAAGCGGCGCACGGGUGAGUAACACGUAGGUAACCUACCCUCGAGCCCGGGAUAACCUACCGAAAGGUGGGCUAAUACCGGAUAUGACCACGGGAGUCACGGCUCCUGCGGUGAAAGGUGGCCUCUGCUUGCAAGCUACCACUCUUGGAUGGGCCUGCGCGCCAUUAGCUAGUUGGCGGGGUAAAAGCCCACCAAGGCGAUGAUGGCUAGCUGGUCUGAGAGGAUGGCCAGCCACACUGGGACUGAAACACGGCCCAGACUCCUACGGGAGGCAGCAGUGGGGGAUCUUGCGCAAUGGGCGAAAGCCUGACGCAGCGACGCCGCGUGGGUGAUGAAGGCCUUCGGGUCGUAAAGCCCUGUCGAGGGGGACGAAACGGUUUCGACCUAACACGUCGGAGCCCUGACGGUACCCCUAAAGGAAGCACCGGCUAACUCCGUGCCAGCAGCCGCGGUAAUACGGAGG
rnacentral:rRNA from 1 species